UAUAAACUUAACUAGUAAACACCCACAAUAACGGGAGAGAGUGAUCACCUUCUCUGAAAAAUUAAUCUUAGAUUAGUCAUACAAAUGCGUCGUAUUAUAAGGCAGAGUUACAUAAGCAAUGACACUAUGAGCUCUGGAAGUUCCUGGUUAAUUUCCUGACAGGACAGGAGCACUGCAAUUUCAGUCUUCUAGUUCUCAUCCGUCCAAAUGUCCGUCUUCUCCUCACUCCUCUCUCUCUUGUCAGUUCCAAAUUUCUGAUUCAAUUUCAUAUCUCUCCAAUUCAACGCAUUUUCAGAAAUUUGCUUGCAGAUUUAUUUUUGUUAUGGCUUGAUGGGCAUGGAAACGGGCUCAUCAUCUUUCCCAAGUUCUUCUUCAUCUUCUACUGCUCAGUGGAAGUAUGAUGUCUUCCUCAGUUUCAGAGCGAGGACACCCGCAAUAAGUUCAUGGGUCAUCUAUAUGAAGCUUUGAUACAGAAGGGCAUUGCUACCUUUAAAGACGAUGAAAAACUUGAGAAGGGAAAACCCAUUAGACCAGAGCUGUUGCUACCUUUCAUGGGUCAUUCUCUCAGAAACGCAUCUUCAACUUGGUGCUUAGAUGAGGCUUCCCCGCUUUUCAAUAUGUCAACUUUCAUGUUCAUUAAAUGGAGUUCAAAUGAAACAUCGAGUGUACUCUGGUUUUAGGACAAACUAUGGAAUAAUGGAGUUCAAAUGCUCUAUUAUUCCAAUUACACUCUAAAUGAUGGAAGAAUAUCUAGUGAAAUUGAUGCGAAUGGAUUUUGUCAACUUAAGAUUAAAAUAGAGCUUUGAGGUGAAGAAAAUUGGGGUCCGUUUGGUAUACCGGCAAGGCAUUGAAGAUCCCUAUCAAACUAUGGCACAGUGCAUCAACAACAGCAGUACGCUCCUAUGACGACCUGGGUGUUCUCCAUCAUGAUCUUGACGAUUCAGCCUCAGAAAGUAUCAGAAAUCAGCAAAGCAAUGAUGAGGAUGGCGGGCCUGGACUUUCCUUAGUAGAGAACGCUUCAAUAUUGAGGAGCCACAGACAAAGAGGAUCAAAGACUCGAGGGAUUAAUGGCUGAUUUUGUAGCAUCUAGUGAAAAUGACGUGGAAGGCUAAAUGUUUUCUGUUCAUUAUCUGUAACUGAUCAAAUGUCCAAGAAACUUGAAGCUGCAGUUAGAGGGAUAGUUACAAGAGUGAUAUUGAAGUAUCAGCCAAGUAGCUAUGGUCCUCUCACACCCACCUUAGGCUCCUGCGAAGGUGGUCAAGGACCCAGAGUGAUAUAAAUACUUCCCAUCAAUCCCUUUCCUUAUUGCAAAGUUACCAUCCAAUGCCUUUAUGCUUGGAGAAGUAUAAUUUGGAAGCUAGAAAGGUUGCUCAAUUGAGCUACAAUUGGAAGAUAGGGAUGGAAGACAGGUUAACAUCUGGAGAGAUAGGUGGCUGCCAACACUAAGCACAUUCCGGGUGGUUUCACCUAGACAUCCUCAAUCUGCAGCAAACUAUGUGUGUGACUAGCUGGAUGAUAAUACAAAGACUUGUUGAAAGGAUGUUCUGGACAAGUUGUUUAUGCCAAAAGAAGCUGCUGUCAUUUAAAGCAUUCCAUGAAAUUCUCAACAUUCUAACGACAGUAUCUUUUGGGUGGUGCAAAAACUGGAGAUUUUUCAGUUUGGAGUGCAUAUGAUUUGUUGGACCACGAGGCAAUAUCAGGUUUUGGAGAGGCUUUAAACAAUCACAGCUCAACAAUUAUGUGGCAGGCACUGUGGAAAGCUAAGUGGACGUAGGCUCUGGUUAGGAAUGCACUACAGGAUAUCCUACCAACAAAGACUCAGGUCUAUUUUCCAAACGCACCAUCUCUUCAGUAACUUGUGAGCAGUGGAAUGAAGUUCCUGAAACCAGGUUACAUGUUUUAUGGUCUCGCCCGCACGCCAAGAAGGUAUGUUAAUUAGUUGAAGGCAUAAACAUUAUCCCACACCAGCCUUACCAAAACGAGACUGAUCUAUUCUCCUGGAUGCUGCACCACAAGAAUACUAUCUCACUGAAACUAUUUCUCAUUCUGUCAUGGUAAUUGUGGCUGCACAUAAAUGGAAAAAGAUUUGAGGAACCAGGAAUGCAGAAAAUAUUCAGUGAGUUACUGCAUAUCCCAACAUGGAAGCCCCCUCAAUUACCUUACUCCAAGGUAAAUGUUGCUGUAAAAAAUACAAGGAUGGCCUUUGUUAUGGAAUAGGUGCAGUGAUUAGAGAUUUUAAUGGGAAUUUUGUUGCAGCUAAGGUUGAGGUGAUUGUGAGCCAAUGCUGUCUGGAUGCUCAUUUUACAGGAUUCUGGCAUGCCCUAUAAUUGUGUAACCAGCAGGGACAUCCGGAGGUUCAACUUGAGAGCUAAUAAUGCUGCUCUUGUUUUAGCAGUACUAGUGUGUAAAUUUUGUCACUGAGAUUUGGCUGGGUAUCUAUCUGUCAAAAACUAGAUUUGGGAGAAAAUGACUUCAUUGAAUAAUUAUGAUUACAAAGCUAUUCCCUUU